rnacentral:rRNA from 1 species
GCUCAGGAUGAACGCUAGCGGCAGGCCUAACACAUGCAAGUCGAGGGGCAGCACGGAUUGCUUGCAAUCUGGUGGCGACCGGCGCACGGGUGCGGAACGCGUAUGGAACCUGCCCCUGUCAGGGGAAUAGCCCAGAGAAAUUUGGAUUAAUGCCCCAUGGUACCGUUCUAUCGCAUGAUAGGAUGGUUAAAGAUUUAUCGGACAGGGAUGGCCAUGCGUGCCAUUAGCUUGUUGGUAAGGUAACGGCUUACCAAGGCAACGAUGGUUAGGGGCCCUGAGAGGGGGAUCCCCCACACUGGUACUGAGACACGGACCAGACUCCUACGGGAGGCAGCAGUGAGGAAUAUUGGACAAUGGCCGAAAGGUUGAUCCAGCCAUGCCGCGUGCAGGAUGACGGCCCUAUGGGUUGUAAACUGCUUUUGUACGGGAAGAAACCACCCCUCGUGAGGGGAACUGACGGUACCGUACGAAUAAGGACCGGCUAACUCCGUGCCAGCAGCCGCGGUAAUACGGAGGGUCCGAGCGUUAUCCGGAAUCAUUGGGUUUAAAGGGUCCGUAGGCGGGCCUAUAAGUCAGGGGUGAAAGGCCACGGCUCAACCGUGGGACUGCCCUUGAUACUGUAGGUCUUGAGUUAUAGUGGGGUUGCCGGAACAUGUGGUGUAGCGGUGAAAUGCAUAGAUAUCACAUAGAACACCGAUCGCGAAGGCAGGUGACCAACUAUAUACUGACGCUGAUGGACGAAAGCGUGGGUAGCGAACGGGAUUAGAUACCCCGGUAGUCCACGCCGUAAACGAUGGAUACUAGCUGUCGGGACUUCGGUCUCGGCGGCCAAGCGAAAGUGAUAAGUAUCCCACCUGGGGAGUACGUUCGCAAGAAUGAAACUCAAA